CCUCGGGUGGCAGCAGUGAGGAAUACUGGUCAAUGGGCGGAAGCCUGAACCAGCCAAGUCGCGUGAGGGAUUAAGGCCCUGCUGGUCGUAAACCUCUUUUGCCGGGGAGCAGUGGUCCGGACGCGUCCGGACCGUGAGCGUACCCGGCGAAAAAGCAUCGGCUAACUCCGUGCCAGCAGCCGCGGUAAUACGGAGGAUGCGAGCGUUUUCCGGAUUUAUUGGGUUAAAAGGGUGCGUAGGCGGGCCAUUCAGCCGGCGGUCAAAUGUCGGGGCUCAACCCCGGCCUGCCGUCGGAACUGGGGGCCUUGAGUGGGCGAGAAGUAGGCGGAAUGCGUGGUGUAGCGGUGAAAUGCAUAGAUAUCACGCAGAACCCCGAUUGCGAAGGCAGCAUACCGGAGCCCGACUGACGCUGAGGCACGAAAGUGCGGGUAUCGAACAGGAUUAGAUACCCUUGUAGUC
rnacentral:rRNA from 1 species